rnacentral:rRNA from 1 species
AACCUACCUUUUAGUUCGGGACAACGUUUGGAAACGAACGCUAAUACCGUAUACGCCCUCCGGGGGAAAGGUCAGCCGCUGAAAGAGGGGCCCGCGUCUGAUUAGCUUGUUGGUAAGGUAAUGGCUUACCAAGGCUACGAUCAGUAGCUGGUCUGAGAGGAUGAUCAGCCACACUGGGACUGAGACACGGCCCAGACUCCUACGGGAGGCAGCAGUGGGGAAUAUUGGACAAUGGAGGCAACUCUGAUCCAGCAAUGCCGCGUGUGUGAUGAAGGCCUUAGGGUUGUAAAGCACUUUCAACGGUGAAGAUGAUGACGGUAGCCGUAGAAGAAGCCCCGGCUAACUUCGUGCCAGCAGCCGCGGUAAUACGAAGGGGGCGAGCGU